UGGGGAAUAUUGCACAAUGGGCGCAAGCCUGAUGCAGCCAUGCCGCGUGUAUGAAGAAGGCCUUCGGGUUGUAAAGUACUUUCAGCGGGGAGGAAGGCGAUAAGGUUAAUAACCUUGUCGAUUGACGUUACCCGCAGAAGAAGCACCGGCUAACUCCGUGCCAGCAGCCGCGGUAAUACGGAGGGUGCAAGCGUUAAUCGGAAUUACUGGGCGUAAAGCGCACGCAGGCGGUCUGUCAAGUCGGAUGUGAAAUCCCCGGGCUCAACCUGGGAACUGCAAUCGAAACUGGCAGGCUAGAGUCUUGUAGAGGGGGGUAGAAUUCCAGGUGUAGCGGUGAAAUGCGUAGAGAUCUGGAGGAAUACCGGUGGCGAAGGCGGCCCCCUGGACAAAGACUGACGCUCAGGUGCGAAAGCGUGGGGAGCAAACA
rnacentral:rRNA from 1 species